rnacentral:lncRNA from 1 species
UCAAAUAAAUUCUCAUUUCAAUUAUUGAUACAUUAUUUUACAAAAAUGGUGAGGACUACUAAAACGACUUCUAGAACCAUCAUUCCACACCCCGACUAGUACUCGCUACAUUCUCGCCUCCUGAGAAGAAAAAUGGAACAACAAGGAAAAGGGUGAGCUCAACUAGCCCCGUAAAGAAUAUUAUGACUAAGAUAAUAUAAAACAAAUUAUCGUUAGUCUUCAACAGGGAAAAAUCUAAUAGAAUACAAUAGACAACAAGUUUUAAAUCAAUCUUCGCAGCGAAAAUAAUAAUUCAUUAGAAGAGUUAAGUAGAGAAUGCAAACUACUAUCUUCUAUAUAUGAAUUUAAAAGUUCAUCGUCUAUCUUUUAUCCCUGUAACAUCAAUCAAUAUAUAUCUGGAAUCAAAUAUUCAUCUUUGCACUAUAGGCCAAAGAUAUUCAUCAGUUGGUCAUGUUCAUCUAAACACUUGUUCAUCUUUGCACUACGGGCCAAAGAUAUUCAGUUAUAUCAUCAUUUAGGACUGAGGAUGAUGAAAAUAUUUUAAAGAAAACGAAUCCAGUGAAACAAAAGAACAAAUAUUAAGGAUUCGUACUUUAAAUAAUCCAAGUUCAAAAAUACUUCAUAAAUAACCAGAGUGGAGUAAAAUUCAAGAAUGAUCAAAACAUGGAUACAAUCACAGCUAGUAUCCAGAAUAGAUAUUUUGGAUAAAAAGAAGAAAACUUCAUUUUUCGGUAAAUAGUGCACUAUUUGUGAAUAGUGCCGUAUACGUGAAUAGUGCCGUAUACGUGAAUAGUAAUUUCGACACUAAAAGAUAGAAAUUUCACAAAAAAGAUCAUCAUGCUUCGUGAAUAGUACUCGUGAAUAGUAACUCAUGAAUAGUAAUUCGUGAAUAGUAACUCAUGAAUAGUAACCCCGACAUGAAAAAGUUUCAAAUUUGAUAAAAAGUUUCCACCAAUAUUUCGGCAUAAUGAUAUUGAAGAAAUAAUAUCAUUUUAAAAAAAAUAAUAUCCCUUACCUCGUAAAGACAGUAUUUUUAGUUGAAACACCGGAUAUAAGCUAUAACUUGAACUUACACCGUAUAGCAACACUCAAAGUAUUAAAAUACUCACAAGAAUACGCUCGAUAUAUAGAGAGAGAAAUCUGUAGUUUCUGGUGUGAUUUUCAAUUCUAACCUAAGCACCCUAUUUAUAGUAAAAUGCUUAGAACACCGAAGCAGAAAAUUUAAUAUAAUAUUAAUAUAUUAUAUAUAAAUUCCUACGCACACAUUCUAAGAUCUGAACUCAGCCAUCUUGCACAUGCUAAUGAUGCCAACCAAGUAUAAAAAACGUUUUUAUUAUUAAAACUUCCAAAAAUCAAUUAUUCAGGAAUUUCGGAACUUCAAUAAUUCAUAAUAAAUAGCCUUUUUAUCAGAAAAUUCGAAUCUCGCGACUUUUUAUAGGAAAUUUAAUUCUCUACAACUUUGCAGAAGAAAGUUUUUUCAAAUUCCAAACAGAAAUUGACCGAAAUCCACAUACGGACGAUUUUACAGGCUAUAAUCAAAUUUCAGUCAAGAAAUGGGUCCACCAACAUGUUUAACAUGUUUUAAACAACUUUUGCAACAAAAAUACUCUUCCUCCUCAUAUACUCAUAUAUCCCACAUNNNNNNNNNNNNNNNNNNNNNNNNNNNNNNNNNNNNNNNNNNNNNNNNNNNNNNNNNNNNNNNNNNNNNNNNNNNNNNNNNNNNNNNNNNNNNNNNNNNNNNNNNNNNNNNNNNNNNNNNNNNNNNNNNNNNNNNNNNNNNNNNUAGUGCCUUCUUACGUAAGAAUCAAUAAUUGGUGCAAUACCGUGUGCUACUGUGCAACAACGCGUAUUACUGUGUUUUAACCACCGGGUAUUCCAACAGUAUUAACGGUAACAAUUGCGCCGUUAUUUUAUAAACAACUUAUACUUGUCGUUUUCUUCAUCCAAUCGUUUUUCGUUAUGGGGCCCACAAAAGACUGCGCCGUCGUACAAAUAUUCCCCGACAGCAAGAAUAUUCAAUGACCAAACGAAUAUUCCCCGACAACAAUGAAUAUUUUAUAACCACCUGCUUAUUUAAAAUAUUUGCGCAUUUUACCCAUAACUAACCACAUUAAUCAAAUCAACCCUUACUAUUUCAAAAUAAUAAAUAGAGGAAAAUAAAUUUCAUUUAUUAAUAAUUUGGGGUCUUACAUUUGUGUAACUGAUAAUAUUACAAUUUGAUGUUGGGUUAUUGCCUUAACUUUUAUUACACGAUACUAAUUUUUUUUGCGCUAUUAUUAUGCCUGCCUCGUGAAAUGACCUCAUAUAAAAAUGUAAAGCCGCUCUAUCUAUGUUUCGGAGUAUGACUGAAUAGACUGGUAGAAGUUUAGAGUUGCUUUAUCAUCAGAAACUUAACUUACCUUCUAAUGUGUGUUAUAGUACAUGCUGGUGACACCCAUAUUCGUGCUAAUUUAGAACAUCUGUUAUGAUUAUGGCACUUUAGUCUUGGUUGAAAAAAGCUUAUAUUGAUUAGCAACAUUUAAAUUAGUACUAAUAUAUACUGGUGUUUGGGCAUUUGUUUGUUGCCUAGAUAAGAGUGUGGUGCCGCGGGUGAGAAUUUUUUACCAAUUGAAGAAGUGAACAAAUGUGAAGCUUCAAUAAUCAUGUUUCUCGAUCCCACUGAUAGCUUACAGUACUUUUUUUAUACUUUUGCCGUGACUAUGAUAAAGGAAGAAGAAAAAAUCUUGAUACACCAAGGUAUAAAGAUGUCUGCUACAGAUCCCUUAGCCUUCUUUGUAGUUCAAUUAACUUCUGCAUGCUCUACCUGAAGGGUAAUAACGGCUGAAAAUCGCCUAUAUGAGUUAAAAAGUUAAUAAUUCUCGGUGAUUGUAUGAAUAUGUGAAGGUUUAUAGGGUUAGUAUAUAAUUUUGUACUCUACUAAUUUGAUGAAUAAUAUGUUGCAGAUGGGCCGUGUUGACGGGUUUGCUCCACAGAGUAACAAGAAAGACGCCACCUUCACUUGGACCGAUGUGCUUGAGAGAAAUUCCAAAUCAUCUUCAGUAUUAGGUGAAGUAACUGUUAUCUGACUAGUGUAAUUCUUCUUUCCUGUCUGCUUUUGUGGUACUCUGUGGUGACUAUCACCCGAUUUUUAGGAUAUAUUGGCAUUAAAUACUGUAUAAACUUCAAUUUCUAUUAGAAAUAUUUCCAUUUUUGACUUGUCCCCACACUUCUCCCAAGCACCAACAUAACGUUAUCCUUUGUCAAUACACAAUACAUAUAUGAGAGAUGAGUUAGUGAUUGUUUGGCAGCCCAUUGCGGUGAAAUGAAGCACUUUAUUAGUAGAGAGAAAAUUGCUUUCAUAUAAAAUUCAAAUAGUUUGGUAAAAUUUUCUAAAGGAAUUUAUGGAGAUACUCUAGUUAGUUUUUAAGAUUAAAUGUAGUUGUGCUUUCAAAAGCAUUAACUUUAGCUUCUCUAAAAAAACGCUUUUACAGCCAAAAUCUGCUACAAACACCUUUGUUAUGUUACUAAACACUUUCAAGCAAUUCUUUGAAUUAAAAGUGCUUUUCACUCACCCCACUGCUUUGCCAAAUGGGCAAUUAGUAUAGGUGAAAUCAUGGAAGACGUAUUUUGUUACUUUUUUUGUUCAUGUGUUAUUAGUAAGUCUGAUAUGAUUUUAAUUCAGAGAUGAUUGUAAAGCUGCCCAAAAGGCAAGUUUAUGUACUUUCUGAGUGAAUUGGGGUUUCCUGCAAAGAGGGGUACAAUUUUCUGAGAUUGUGAGAUUGAUUCCUGUGGGUGAGCCACGCAAAGUAUGUGUCUUGUGUAAUUGUUUUUUUCCCACUGUUUUUGUUGCAUUUUUAUUUUCCAACACUGUGAGUUCUUUUUUUUGCAUCGACAUGCGAUACGUGAAUAAUGAUAGUAUAUGCACAAAUCACAUAUCAUACGCAUGUAGCAAACACAUUUUCAUUGUCCUGUGGCUGUUUAUUUAUAAAAAACUGUUUUUGAAAUUUUAUUUAUUCAAAAGAGCUAUAACAGAAAUAUUUGUCUUCAAUGAUUCUCUGUUACUUCUUUCUCCUCUCCAAAAAACCUUUACUAUGCUUAAAGCUACUGAAUACAAAAAUAAAUGAAACGAAUAAUGUGUGUAACUAAAUUUAUUCCUGUAAAUUUUGGAAGCCUAAAUAUAUUUGUUGUAUUUAUUAUUUUCAAUUUCGCAUAUAGCUGCCUUCACAGUGUCUUUCGAUACCGUAAGACAUUAUGUAUUAUAUUUUCCCCUCAUAAUUACUAUGUGCUUACGUAAUAUUAAUAGUAAUGGAGCUUAAAUUUUGCAGAAAGUUCGUCGAAUAAAGGUGGAACAAGUGAGUCCCCUGAACAACUGGAAAACACUAGUAGUAGAGAGCUCCAUUCAAGUGAAAGAAAAUAUAGAGAAUGUAUUUUUGGUGAAGAAGCUCUGAAAAUAUCCCCCACUGAACCAUAUUGUCUGCGCCGUCCUAUUCGCAGGGGUCAUCUCAAUAUAUCUCAACAUUAUCCUAUGCAGCAGGUACUGUUAAAUAUGCCAAUUAUUAGUUUGUUCUCUUGCACGGGGAAGGGAUCAACACAGAUUCCUGAUGUAGUGCUUACUCAUUGAGGCUUUUCUUUUAAUAGUUUGUCUGCUCCUGUUAGAAGUAACCAUAUCUUCAGGAACAAGUUUAAAGAUCCUGCAAGACACUAAAAUUCUAUUUGGAAGUCUGCAUAACAUGAAAUUAAAAUUUUAGUAGACAUAAAUUUCUUCUCCUCCAUUAUUGUUGCACAACCAGAAAAAGGAAAGAAAUUGGUUUGCAUUAUAUUUAUUGCCAACUUAAAAACAAUUUUAGUGUUUUCUAGUUACUAAUAAGUAAUUUGGCUGUUAACACGUUAUCUGACCAUUCUGCAGGUACUUGAAGACCUGCAUGCUAUCUGGGACUGGAUUUUGAUUGAGAAACUGCAUAUUCCUCACAAUGAAAGAAACCUUUAUUCUGCUAUUCUUGUAGUGCCAGAAACUUUUGAUAAUCGUGGUAAUUACAUGCUUAUAGUUCACAUAUGUGCUUUUGCCUUCCUUUCAAUAAAUUUUAUGCUGUGUUUUCUCUUUUUGUCGUCUAUGUCAAGCCUUUGUAUAUGUCUUUCAAAGUGAGUGUUAGUUAGUUGGAUAAUAAUCUUAUCUGAGUAGUUUUCUUUUGUUCUUAUAAUUAGAAAUAAAGGAAAUAUUAUCUAUUGUACUACGGGAAUUGCGCUUCAGCACGGCAGUGGUCCACCAGGUGGGAAUAUUUCUCCUACAAUUUAGAUGAUUAUAAAUUUUCUAAGAUAACUAUCAUAUAAUUUUGUUAUUUGGGUGUUUGAUAUUUGAUGGAUAUAUAACUCAAGUCCUUUAAACCAAGCAUUUCUUUGUCAUCGUUCGCAUUUCUUUUGUAUAUAUAUAUAUACCAAAUAAGAAAACGUCAUAUAAACAUCACUUUUUAUAUGAUUAUAAUUUAUAAAACCAACUUGUAUGUAAUGCGUAAUAAAAGGUAUUGCCAGGAAUUAAGUCUUAAACAGGGUUUUUCUACCUACCACAGUAUCAUUAAUACUGGACCCUAUACGAGCUUUUAAAAACAAAGGAAACUAAACACAUGGUUGGUUCACCAUAGGUUUAUACUACUUACUAGUUUUCGUGUCAUCUGGUAGCAAAAACAAUCACCACUAAAUGCUGUUGAUGGUCGCAGAAGCAGUUAAAAUAUCUAGUCGGGCAUUGUAGAGUGAGCACCUCACCUGAGAAUGGGUG